AUAUAUUUAUUUACCUACAGGUCAUGGGUUAACUGCAGUCAAGGAAAAGGCCGGGGCAACCCUGCGAAUCCACAGUGUCAAUUCUGGAUCUCCUGAAGGGGUACCAACUGAUGCCGAAAAUGGAUUUUCUGAAAAUGUGACUCCAGAUCAGGACCCUGCCGGGGGCCCCCACACUUCUCCUCCGCCAGGGGCAGCAGGGUCGAGGGGCAUGCUGUCAGCCCUCACCAACGUGGUUCAAAACACGGGCAAAAGUGUCUUAAGCGGAGGUCUGGAUGCUCUGGAAUUCAUUGGAAAGAAAACCAUGAAUGUCCUCGCAGAAAGUGACCCAGGGUUUAAGCGGACGAAGACACUGAUGGAGAGAACCGUUUCCUUGUCCCAGGUUGAACUAGAAUCCUUCAUUGAUUUUUCUCCUUUCAGCCAAUAAAGUCAAAGCAAGUGGCACAAAAAGUAGGAAGAAAGCUAACUGAAAAUCUCGUGGGAGGCAAGCACUGUUAAUGGUCCCUUAUGCACGCUGUUGGUUAUCUUACAGACAUAGUGAUAAAUAAGCAUUUGGGUAUAAGAAUAUGCAUGCAUUUGGGUAUAAGAAUAUGUACACACACACUCCAGCCAAACAGCACCAUAUUGAUCACACUUUCAUACAUUACUCAUUUAGUAAUCUGUUGAAGAUUUUUCCAUGUAUGCCCCUUUCAGUACCUCAGUUCUGUCGCUUAUCAUCUAUACAACAUUGUGGGUUUACUUUCCAUCUCUGUGCCUCAGCUUAUCCCCUGGAUAAGCUGGAAUGAGGUGACAGCAAUACCUCCUGAUAACUUCGCUCUGAUGAUUACAUGAGCUAGAACAGAACCUGAUAAAGACAUGUAUGUGUACAUACAUAUAUAACUUUUAUGCUAGGUAAAAGGAUGAUGCUCUUUUAUUCUAGGUAAAAUGAUGGAGAGAAAGACUGAGUCUAAAAACUGGAAAAUUCUAGCUACUUUUGUUGUAAAAUGAAGAGGGGACCUGAGUUAAUUUCCCAAACUACCAUAAUUUUUGUGACACAUUCAUGAUUUUGUCACAGCUGCAUGCUAGCCACACUUAGAAGGCUACACUGCACAUGGAAAUGUGUUACCCAGCACCCACAAGGACCA